GCCCAGGAGAGCUCAGUCAGUAGAUCAUCAUACUUUUAAUCUGAGGGUCCAGGGUUCAAGUCACUGUUUGGGCA
rnacentral:tRNA from 1 species